rnacentral:rRNA from 1 species
CACGUAGGGGGCGAGCGUUGUCCGGAUUCAUUGGGCGUAAAGGGCGCGCAGGCGGCCCGGAAAGUCGGAUGUGAAAACUCGAGGCUCAACCUCGAGCGUGCACCCGAUACUGCCGGGCUUGAGGCAGGUAGGGGAGAUCGGAAUUCCUGGUGUAGCGGUGAAAUGCGCAGAUAUCAGGAAGAACACCCGUGGCGAAGGCGGUUCUCUGGGACGGUACUGACGCUGAGACGCGAAAGCGUGGGGAGCGAACAGG